CGCGUAGGUGGUUAAUUAAGUCAAAUGUGAAAUCCCCCGAGCUUAACUUGGGAAUUGCAUUCGAUACUGGUUAGCUAGAGUAUGGGAGAGGAUGGUAGAAUUCCAGGUGUAGCGGUGAAAUGCGUAGAGAUCUGGAGGAAUACCGAUGGCGAAGGCAGCCAUCUGGCCUAAUACUGACGCUGAGGUACGAAAGCAUGGGGAGCAAACA
rnacentral:rRNA from 1 species